AAGGAUGGGACAUCUGUAGGGGGACCCCCAGCAAUCUCUGUCACAUCUGCUUUCUUUUUUCUAAUUUGAAAAUGGAAAACUGAUUCACAAAGAGGGAAAACUCCCCUAAAUUUACCUGGCCAACACCUACUCAUCCCUCUUGUGUCAACUUAAAAGUCACUUCCUCCGAGAAGCCUGCCUGGGGUUUUCCCCUUCCUUUCCUUCACCCCCGGUGGCCCCCAUCUAAAGGAGGUGUCCCUGUUACAUUCUGUCAACAGCUCUCCUCUCCGAGCGUUUCAACUUACCAGAGCUGAAAUUAAUGACUCACCGAUGUGACUGUGUGUGUCACGUCUGCCUCCAGAAUGGUUCUCUGAGCUCUGUGAUGACAAGGACUGAAUCUGUCAUGGUCACACGGACCCUUGCCCUGACAAAGCAAAGAACUGAUGAUUCCUUUGGUAGGCUGUGAUUGCUACCGCUUUUCUGCCGCCUAGAAUGUUUUUCUCCCACCCCUCCUGAUAAUACAUCGUGCUCCACCCCCAUGUCCAUGGUGAGAAACAAGUUUUCUUUGGAGCCAUCUUCACCGGCUGCUGAUAGAAGAAAGAACUGCUGAGAUGAAUAAAGAGAGAAGGAGCAGGAAGCAGGAUAUCAAGUGGAGGACUAGACUGCUUGAUUCAGUAUGGUUGUCCAUACAGAUGUGUACCCCGAAUAGUAAGGGCCUGCUUUUAUUCCUGUUUGUUACCUCUUCCUCUUUCACAUCCAUCAUGUUCCCAGUCUUCCUAUGAUGGAUAAUUGACCUAAUUAAGAGCAUAAAAGGUAAGAUUAAAGGAAUGAUUUUAAGACUCUGCCCGAUUAGUCACCAUUCCCUCCAGCUAACCAGUUCCCAAGUCCUGUUGACUUUUGACAUUCUAAAUAUUUCUCAACCUGUUCUCUGCUCUCUCUGCUCUUUCCUCUGCUGCUCGAUUCAGAUCAUAACCAUUUCUCAUCUUAUUUAUGCAAGUACAUUGCAACUGGAUUCUACCUCUCUUUCCUUCAAUCCUUAACUUCAUCUCUCACAAUCAGAAUCACUUUUCAAAUACGCAAAGCCGCUUUAUCCCUCUAGUGAAAAUCCUUCUGAGCUUCUUUUUAGCUUACAGGCAAAGUCCAAAGUGGCAUUCAGAGCCUUUCUGGUUCUGGCUCCUG